CCCCACUGGGAGCAGGGAAACGUGCGGCACGUGAGCUGCGCGGUGAUUGGCAGCUGCGGACCUGCAGCUCCGCGCCCCCACCCGGCUUGAAGUCCUGCUGGGUAAGGGGGCGUCCUGAGCAGCCGCUGGUCCACCCAGCCAGGCUUUCUCUGUCCCGAACCUAGGAACAAUGACAUCUUGAUGGGGUGGAGGGAGGCGGGAACUGGGCCAGUGCUCCCGAGUUCCGGAACCGCCUGUGCUUGCUUUAUGGGACGUGAGUACUCGUCUUGAGGGGUGGAAAUACUUUCUAUAAGUGCUGAAAACGUGCUUUCCACAGUUUCGCCUGGAGCCCAGGGUAAUUUAACUUCAGCAUCUUGACUGACAGAGCCAGGAAUACCCUCCGGAGCCCGGACCUUUCGAUGAGCUAAUGACAAAGGCGCAGCUCCUGGUCGCGGCUAGGGAGAGAGGACCAGAAGGAUGCCCGUGAAAGGACCGCGUUGACUCGGCAGGGAAGGCGAUGUGACAGAGGUGGCAGAGACCUUGGCUAACGCGUGGCUGCAACCCCUAAGGAGUACCGAGGAAGGAGCUGCCUCUGGUCUCCCCCUUGGCUACCAUGGUUCCAGCUCUGAAGAAACAAAAUUUCCCGCCCCUAACUGUUCCGUCGGGCUGUCACACCGGGGUUUCGUCAGUCAGGGACACUGCGUGUCUCUACCACAGUCUCGGGAGAAGCCUCUGAGCCUUUGCAAGGACUUUGACAAAGCAGAUGAUACUCACUAAUUCUCAAGACUGUCACCCAUGGGGCAGCGCACACGUCACCCUGUGCACCCGGAGUCUAGUGUGACAUGUGCUGUUUCUCCAGUAUAGGCACUUAGCGCUUACUGAGAGGGGAUUACAGUCUGGAAGACUAUUCAUUAGAUGAUCCUGUCAUGAAGACAUCGCAGAUGCAGAACACACAUUAAAAGAGCUACAAACUUC